CAUAUGUCAGAUUCCCACUGUCGUGAUGGUAUUGCAUGCACCAACUGCAUUUCCACAGAAAAGCAGAAAGCUUUUUCAGUAGACUGCGAUUGAGUCCCCUUAAAUCUCUCAGUGUCAACAAAUUACCAUCUGUUGUUCUGGAGACUUUCAAGCUGAUGACUGCUGCUCCUCGCUUGAAGCUGGGGGCAGGCAUCUGCCCCUCUGAGAAAUACAGCCUGAGGAUGGGAACCAGCGCUGCGCCCCUGGAGGGGCUGGUUGCAGGAUCUCGAGGGUCCAGAGAGCUCUGCACCCCAGCUCACCCAGCUGUGCCCCCAGCAAUGGGAUCCCCAAGAGAAAGUAUCUGGCAAUGAAGCGAGGAGGCAUGGGAGGAGGACCUCUCAGAAGAAACCAUCUCGCUGAGCCCCCUAAAAAGUCAUGUAAGUCUAUGGUCACCACCCUGUGUCAGAGAGGAUCCAGGGCUGAAGGAGUGGUUGCAUAGCAAUGACGUUAGAUAUCUAAAGCCACACAUUUAGAAAAGAAGUUCCUGUUCUUUGGCAAAGCAACUGAAGUCCUGGGGAUUCGUCCUGAGGAACUAAUCAAGGAUGUGCGCACAGAAUGUUAACCUCUGAAACAACCCUCAGCAAUAGGAAGAUGGGACAAAUACAUUCUAGCACUUGCACUCCCUGUACUGAAGAUCGUGUUGUAGAAGUAUGUAUAUAAUAGUCAGAGAAAAAUGUUUACUGUGUGCUGUUACGUUGAAAAAACCAGUUACAAUUCAGUUGGCACAAUAUAAUCCAGUUUUCACGUAACGAUA